AGGGCUAUCAGAUGAAGGCAGCAACGAAAACACCACCACAAGACCAACUUCAGGCUGGAGCUGAUGAUGCCACACAGCGAGAAAAAAGAAAAUAGACUCUACUUAGAAAUGAAACUCAACUAAAGGUAAAAGUUGUCAGGAACAUCUCCAAGAAAGCCAGAGUCAGCCUCUAAACUUUGCAUCAAGAACGCAAUGGCUUCCCUGAGGGCCCAGGGACGCGUGGCAGCUGUGAGGCAGCCCCUUCUCUGCUGUCGAGGAACUGGACACUUCUCCUGUCCCUUCCCACAAGGUAUAAUAUUAGGCAGAAACCCAAUAUAAAAAGAAAAGCAGAGUUGUUGUAGAUUCAUCGAGGGUUGGCGACCUGGUUCCAAUGAGCCAUCUCCCUGUUCCGACAGGGGCUUCCUGGAGCUCCUGCAACCCCAGGCAUUAGUUCCGGUGCAGUUCUAGGAUCAGAUCAAUUCACUCGACAACAAGAGAAACAAAUGGAGAUUCCUACACAAAGACUUUCAAGCACAAAGAAAUCCUGCUGCCUGUAAAGCGGAGCUGCCUCAGCCCUUGAUGAACGACAGAAAAUACCACCUACUGCCAGACCUCAACGCCUCACAAAACUCUCACCCACCUACUGCUUUUAGCUCACAUUCCAGGAAUUCAGAUGAAGUGAAGUGCUCUCAUGGGGACCAGGCAUGGUUAUGCCAGUCCACUGCCCUGCAAGCCUCAAGGGAAGCCAACUGCCCUUCAGCAAGUCACACCUGCCUUGGUGGAGGCCUUGAUUGGAAGUGCCACACGCUACAUGUCCAGUCCUGAGCGGGAGAAUCGGUGUAGGGACGUUCUGGGGAUGCCAGCUGUGGCCAGAUCAGGUCCAACUACAGAAGAAUAAUGAAGACUCCACCUGAGGGCUGGAAAAACAAAACCUCAAGUGUGAGGCAGCCAACCUGUUACCUCGAGGGACUGUUCCGCAGCACAGCGGGGCCAUGGGAACAGCAGCAGACACCCCGACCUCCUCGCUACCUGUGUGUGUAUUAACACGCCGGCCUCCUCGCUACCUAUCAACUAUGGCCUGA
rnacentral:lncRNA from 1 species